GAUGAACGCUAGCGGCAGGCCUAACACAUGCAAGUCGAGGGGUAGAACACUUCGGUGUUUGAGACCGGCGCACGGGUGCGUAACGCGUAUGCAAUCUACCUUGUACAGGGGGAUAGCCCAGAGAAAUUUGGAUUAAUACCUCAUAGUGUUAUCGAAUGGCAUCGUUUGAUAACUAAAGUUCCAACGGUACAAGAUGAGCAUGCGUCCCAUUAGUUAGUUGGUAAGGUAACGGCUUACCAAGACAAUGAUGGGUAGGGGUCCUGAGAGGGAGAUCCCCCACACUGGUACUGAGACACGGACCAGACUCUUACGGGAGGCAGCAGUGAGGAAUAUUGGACAAUGGGCGCAAGCCUGAUCCAGCCAUGCCGCGUGCAGGAUGACUGCCCUAUGGGUUGUAAACUGCUUUUAUACAGGAAGAAACACUGCUACGAGUAGCAGCUUGACGGUACUGUAGGAAUAAGGAUCGGCUAACUCCGUGCCAGCAGCCG
rnacentral:rRNA from 1 species